GAUGAACGCUGGCGGCGUGCUUAACACAUGCAAGUCGAACGGAAAGGCCCAAGCUUGCUUGGGUACUCGAGUGGCGAACGGGUGAGUAACACGUGGGUGAUCUGCCCUGCACUUCGGGAUAAGCCUGGGAAACUGGGUCUAAUACCGGAUAGGACCACAUUUUGGAUGGUGUGGUGGAAAGUUUUUCGGUGUGGGAUGAGCUCGCGGCCUAUCAGCUUGUUGGUGGGGUAGUGGCCUACCAAGGCGUCGACGGGUAGCCGGCCUGGGAGGGUGUACGGCCACAUUGGGACUGAGAUACGGCCCAGACUCCUACGGGAGGCAGCAGUGGGGAAUAUUGCACAAUGGGCGCAAGCCUGAUGCAGCGACGCCGCGUGGGGGAUGACGGCCUUCGGGUUGUAAACUCCUUUCGCUAGGGACGAAGCGUUAUGUGACGGUACCUGGUGAAGAAGCACCGGCUAACUACGUG
rnacentral:rRNA from 1 species